AGCGACCCGGCCCAGGGACGACCCCGGUGCCUGACGGCGCUUUACGGCCGCGCCGCAAAGCAAACACCGUGCCGGCGGCGUAUCGCCUGCCGUCUUCGAGUUCUCAGUUUGCGCGAGCUUACUUGGGACGAGUCGGGGCGAAAGUUCGAGAAAACAGAAGAGAAAGGAGGAAGUAAAAGAAGACAAGGAACUGCAAGGGGAAGAGGAAAGAGAAGGAAGUGAGAGAAGUUCGUUGUCCUAUUUUCUCCGCCAGGAAGGGAUUACUGGCAGCUGAAGGAAUGCUCAGCUUCUUGGUGCAAGCACAGCAUAGAACAGAGCAAGAUUUAAUGAAGGCUGGAUCUCCACCAGGGGAAUUAUUUUCAUAUGAAAUGAACCAAGUUACAAUGAAUAUCCACAGUGGUCUGAAGAAAAAAACAAGUUAGAACAAAACAGAGGUGAACAUUAUAGGAAAGAUUCUGAACCUCUUUCUCUCAGUACAAGGUUAAACUGUCACUGUGGUACGGAACCAAGUGGGCUCGCCUCCUGGUGAGUUAAAUAAGACUCUACACCAGGACAAGCAGUGAGUCCGUGCACGCCCGGGAUCCGAACCUGCGAACCCCAGGCUGCUGAAGCGAAGCGGGCACACUUAACCACUGCGCCACCGGACUGGCCCCAGGACAUUUAGACUAUAAAUACUGAGAAUUUGUGAGGACUACCCGAGUGUUCGGUCUGGGCAAGGCUACCCUUUGCUCAUCUAAAUAGCUCUCAGAAGACCUUGGGGCAUUAGCUUCUGCCUCAGUAAAGACAACUCUUUCACCAGCAGUGGUGAAAACUGUGCAGUGGCCCAUGAGGGAGAUCAUCUUGCCUGCCAGCACUGGCACUGCCAUUCCCUAGUAACGUGCUCUAGCAACUAGGGAUGUUCACUUUGCACUGGCAGCUGGAUAUCGGCUCUCAAUUGGCUUAGCCAUCUCUCCUGAGGACCAACUCAUAGAAAGGUACCCCUCAACUAAAUUUGGACUUUAUUUUAUAUUUUUAUUUAUUUUUUUUGUGAGGAAGAUCAGCCCUGAGCUAACAUCCAUGCCAGUCCUCCUCUUUGUGCUGAGGAAGACUGGCCCUCGGCUAACAUCUGUGCCCAUCUUCCUCCACUUUAUGUGGGACGCCACCACAGCAUGGCCUGACAUGCUGCAUUGGUGUGCACCCGGGAUCCAAACCCAAGCCACCAACAGUGGAGCGCAGGCACUUAACCGCUACGCCACGGGGCCAGCCCCCAAAUUUGGACUUUAUUAUAUUCAUUUCCCCUUACUGUGGAACAAUAGUGUGAUUAAUCUAUCAUUGGUUUGGAGUAUGUUAUUUCUUUAUUGGCUUAUUAAGAAACAUUAUCCUGUAUGCUAUUGGCUUGUGAAAUUAUUAUAAUUACCACAGUGAACCUGUGUUAAAUAAAUUAUUGGCAAA